AUAGGUUUUGAUAAUAUUUCCUGGAUGUGGCGGGGUAUUACAUUAACAUCUGUAUCUGCUUCUGAUAAGUGGUUCAAAUCGGCUACUAGUUUUUCUUUCAUAAUGGUGUGAAAGUCCAUGAAGGGGACCUUAAAAUGCUCCGAGUGGUCUUCAUGAGGUUCAGAGUUGGCAACUUGAUCCACAAUUUCGUUCCCUGGUAUGCCUCGAUGAGACGGAAUCCACUUGAGUGAAAUUGGUUUUUUAAUUUCAUUAAUAAUGUUUCUUAUGUUAUAAAUUAAAUAAUUUGUUUUAAA